rnacentral:rRNA from 1 species
UUGGACUUUAUUUGCGCAGUAUAGGUGGGAGGCGUGGAAAGUAUUCUUGCGGGAAUAGCGGAGCCAUCAGUGAGAUACCACUCUUGUAAUGUUAGAUUUCUAACUUUGUAUCCUUAUCGGGUCAAAGAACAGUCUCAGGCGGGCAGUUUGACUGGGGCGGUCGCCUCCCAAACGGUAACGGAGGCGCACAAAGGUUUCCUCUGAACGGGUAGAAAUCGUAUCUAGAGUGUAAAGGCAUAAGGAAGCUUGACUGUGAGACCUACAAGUCGAGCAGGGACGAAAGUCGGUCUUAGUGAUCUGACGGUGCUGAGUGGAAAGGCCGUCACUCAACGGAUAAAAGUUACUCUAGGGAAACAGGCUGA